rnacentral:misc_RNA from 1 species
UCCGGCUUAUCACCGGCAGUUUCUCUAGAGUGCCCAACUAAAUGAUGGCAACUAAAGACGAGGGUUGCGCUCGUUGCGGGACUUAACCCAACAUCUCACGACACGAGCUGACGACAGCCAUGCAGCACCUGUGUGUAGGUCCCGUAAGGGAAGGAAUCCAUCUCUGGAAGCCGUCCUACCAUGUCAAACGCUGGUAAGGUGGGGAUGACGUGUCGUUACCUUA